GCCUGGCUAGCUCAAUUGGUAGAUCAUCAGACUUUUAAUUUGAGAGGCCAGGGUUCAAGUCCCUGCUCAGGCA